rnacentral:lncRNA from 1 species
AUGUUGCAAAUGCCAUCCACCCCAGUUUUUAAAAUUUUAUGGAAAAAACAUGCGAGUGUGUGUAUGAAUUGCAAACUCACCUCCGAUCAGCCUCUGGGGGAUGCUGGAUCUAUGGUACACUUUGUCCUUCUGAGAACAAAACUCUUCCCAGGUAAAUGCCCUUGGAACAUGCAUUUAUGUCUGUCUUAACCUGAUUUUCGAUUGUGUUGGAGGAUGAUGACAGUUGGGAAGUAUAAAAGAGAGAAAUCUAAGAAUAGAAAGAACUAGAUCAGUCUUAGUGUACUUCUGGAGAGACAGACAAUGCUUGAAAUUAUGGGUGUAGAGACCUAGUUUGUUAAUUUAAACCACCAUGUGUCUAUUUUUUAGAAAAGACUCAUGAAGAAAAUCUAAUGGUGAGUAAAGCAAAUCUUAUGGCCCCAAAUAUGCCAGAUGUGCCAGAUAAAAUUAAUAUUUUUUUCCUGGAAACUGUUUUAUAUCAUGCGGUGUUGCAUAGUUUGCUUAUGUGACAGUGUGUAUCUUGGGAUACUGGAGCAUCAGUCACAGAGUUAUUAUUUUCUUUUAGCAUAAAAUUUUUUUAAAAAAAUCUUUAGAGAUGUAGUUCUGAAAAAAACAAAAACAAAGUAAGAGGGGAAGGCUUGCUGAAGAAAACAUGACUUUUUAAAUAAUUCAUCUAUAGCACUUCUUGAAACUAGAGAAAUACCGUGUAUGGGGAUUCAUGUUUUAUAAAAUAUCAGUGAGACCAUUAUUUGCUGAAAAUGUUUUUCUGGCACUGAUUAAAAUUAUUACUUAUUUCACUUUUCUCACUUAUGUUAUCUACUCUUAACAUUUCUUUUGUUUUUUUUUCUUCUGAGUCCUGUCUCUCAAAAGGUAGGAUUAAUUUAUCUUUUGCUUACAAAAACAAUAUCUGAGUGGAGGCCUGGAUUGAAAUUCAAGGACUCACUAGGCGUCUACUAAGUGUAGUGGGGAUAACGUUGAGUGUUACAGCUUGGAAACUGACUAGCUGUGUGACAUUGGGUAACCCACUGUUCUUCUCUGUGCUUUCAUUAUUUGUUCUAUACGAAUAAGAUAACGCUGACCAAACAAUAUAUUAAAAAGCAGUUGCACAGCUGAGAAAAUAAAGAUGCUGAUACACCAUAUUAUUGAAGAAAUAAUUCUUACUUUUGCAUUUGUUCUAGGGAAAGAGGUUAAGAGAAAGAACUGGAAAUUGAAUUCUGUUCUACAUUAAAAGUGUAGCUGCCAGGCUCAUCCUUGGAGCCCUCAGAAAAUAAAGAAGAGGUGCCGUGGAUCCGGCAACCAUGGUUCUUUCUGACAGAGGCCUUUGGCCCUCCAAGCCCCUCACUCUGCUGGCCUGUUGGAGAAUGUGUGCUGAUUCCCAGAGGAGCCUCAUGCCCUUUCUGCCUCCUGCUCAGGUCCUGGAAGUUUUCAGAGAAGAGGAUGCCAUUACCCAAGUCUAAUAAUUUUCUAUUUUAAAUGCUGAAUUUUAUUAUAGGGUAAUCAUCAUUGUGGAAAGUCAAAGCCAUUCACUAAUAGGAAACAUACUGUAAUUUAAUAGAUGACAUUUGCUCAUGUUUUCCUGUAUGAGAUCUGGAAGCCAAGUGUUUAAGUCCACGCACCCACCCACCCCCAACUUUUUUUUUUUUUUUUUUUUUUCAGAUGGAGUCUCGCUCUGUCACCAGGCUGGAGUGCAGUGGUGUGAUCUCGGCUUACUGCAACCUCCAAGUCCCGGGUUCAAGUGAUUCUCCUGCCUCAGCCUCCUGAGUAGCUGGGACUACAGGCGCCCGCCACCACGCCUGGCUAAUUUUUGUAUUUUUAGUAGAGAUGGGGUUUCACCAUGUUGGCCAGGAUGGUCUCGGUCUCUUGAGCUCGUGAUCUGCCCACCUUGGCCUCCCAAAGUGCUGGGAUUACAGGUGUGAGCCACCGUGCCUGGCCACAUCCACCACUUUUUAACAUCAUACAAGUCAAAUGUUAUUAGAUUAAGCUGAAAAAUAGGUGAUUACUAAAUUUGAUAUUCUGGAGGUGUGAUGGCCAUGGAAGAUGGUUUGGCACAAUCCCUUCACCUGUUGCCUUGGGUUUCGUCCUUCUUAUUUCCUGUCUAGGUAAUCGAAAUGGCCUGCACUUGGACUUCCUUCUCAAUAGCCCUUCAUCUGCUCUCACAUUGUUGCCAGAGUGCUCUUCUCAAAGCACAAGUUUGAUCAAGUCAUGUUUCCUUUAAAAUUCUGGGUCGGGUGUGGUGGCACAAUGCCUGUAGACCCAGCUAUUCAGGAGGCUGAGGUGGGAGGAUCGCUUGAGCCUGGGAGUUUGAGGUUGCAGUGAGCUGAGAUUGCACCAUUGCCCUUCUGCUUGGGCAACAGAGUGAGACUGUCUCAAAAAACAAACAAACAAACAAACAAACCAGAACAAAACAAGAAAAUUCUUCAUUGCCUCUUCAUUGCCAUCAGUCUAAAGUCCAGAUUUCUUAACUAGGUGCCUAAUGAGAACUGGUCUUGAAAAAAUUGUUUGAACUUGGAAAAUAUUGUCAUUGGAAGAGUUACAAGCAGGGUUUUUUUUUUGUUUGUUAUUUUUUGUUUUUUGCCUUCUAUGAAUAGAGAUUGGAAUUUAUUUUUGUUCAGACUAUGUUCAGAAAGAGACCAUUCUGCUAGUCACCUUUGGUUAUGCAGAAGUAGUAGGGGGAUUUAAAUAUUCUUGUGGCUGGCUGAAAUUGACAAGGGUCCCAGUGAAAAUGCUCAAAAUGGGAUGCUAAAUACCCUCUUUAAUAAUGCAAUACUUAUAACUAAAGUUUAUUGAGGGAAAUUCUAUGUGCCAGGUAGUCUUGUAAGCUUUUCAUUUGUAUUAAUGUAAUACUCAUACUAACUCUGUUACCAUCCCUUGCUAUUGAUGAAAUGGAGACACAGAGAGGUUCAAUAGUGUGUCCAAGGACACACAGAUAAGUAACCAGUAGAAUUCAGAUUGGAAUUCAACACGUCUAGCUUCAGAGUCCUCACUCUCAAGCACUAUGUGAUAGAGCCUCCAUUGCGUAAGCACAGCUAAGCCCUACGGAAUUAAAAACAUCCUUCCCACAAACCAAAUCUGGAUGUCUCAUGGCUUCUUUUACUAAGCAUUUGCAUGUGGGGUAUGAAUUUGAAGCUAGAACAUGGCUGGAGAAAUGUGCUGUUUUAAUCUCUUCAGCUCACUCUGGAGGAAGAACUGAAAAAGUACAGUGCAGUGGGUACAGGAUAUUGGUGUUCUACAUUGGUGUUACAUAGGACGAAUAACUCACAUAUUAAGGAGUAUCCUGUAAAUAGUAUGUUUGUCUUAUUUGAUUCAUCUUAUUUCAUAUUUUUUUAAAUUAAAAAAAUUAAAUUUAUUUGUUUUUGUUUUUUUAGACAUGGGAUAUUGCUGUGUUGCCCAGGCUGGAGUGCAGUGGCUGUUCACAGGUGCAAUCAUAGUGCACUAUAGCCCAUAACUCCUGGGCUCAAGUGAUCCUCUCGCCUCAGCCUCCCAAGUAGCUGGGACUAUAGGUGUGCCACCAUGCCUGUCUAACUUUAUAUUUUUGAGAGCAAACAAUGGGAUAUUAUUUGUAGGGGCUGACUAUUCCCACUGAUAAUCAUUUUGGAGAAGGAAAUUCAAAAAUAGGCAUUUAAAUGGGUAGAGAAAGUUUUUAUUUUGGGGUGGUGCUGUCAGAGUUGGACCUAGACAAAUACAUGGCCAUUUAGGGGGCAUCCCUUCGGUGGAGGUUGAACCAGCCUGCUGAGAGUUUGGUUGGGAUUUACGGAUUGGGUUGGGCCAUUGGGCUCCAAGGUCAAUUCUUUCUAUUAGCUGUUGUAAAUAAAUCUGUUUAUUGUACAGAUUUGUCCUUAACCUUCCAAUCUUCUGUAAAGUUUGUUAAAGGUCAUGGUUAGGUAUGACGACUCAUCUCAAGGCCAGAAAAGAGAUGGCAAAGGCCCCAUCUAUCUAUCUUCCUCUUUCUCUGCUCCUCUCCACAUAGAAGCAAUUGGAUUCCUACCCAGCACA